GAAACUGGUAACUAAAAAUAACGGGACAUUUCAUUUUUUGAACCUGUGAAAAAAUAGCACAUGGAGUCUUCUAAGGUUUUUCAGACAAGUGAAAGCAAUCCAGCAUUGCUGCAGGAAGAACUGCCAAUACAAUCUUAUCAGGAGUAAAAUAAUUAUGGGUCUGUGUCAGUAAAUACGCUCUGCUAACUGUUGGAGUUAAAAAAAAAAAAAGUUUUUUCAACUCCUUGAAAAAAAACAAACUGCAUACAAAUAAACAAUUACAACAUAUUUUUAAGAGAAAAUAGCUCAACUCACUCUUAAAAUUGUUCACACAGACAGAAAUAUCAAGAGUAAAUCAAGUGCGUUAUUUAACUUCCCUUCAUGGAGCAAAGAAAUAAUCUUGUGUUACGUGUUUUCAUUUCCUUGCAACAACUAAACUCUUCAUUUGUCUCCUUAGUGGAGAACACUGCAAGGCUUUUUAGAUACUAACUGUAUGUUUUAACUUAGACUGCAGUGGGCCCUUCUUAAAAACAAAGUGAGAAUGCUCUCUGUCCUGAAGAGGGAAAACUUUAAAAGAGCAGUGGGUAUUUUAGCUACUUUUUUUUUUCAAUUUACGGGAAUGAGUUUAACUUAAGAGUUAGGCUGAUUUCCUCCCACAUUCAUGAUUGCUUCUGUUUGUUGUAGCCACUUUCUAGGUACGAAAAAAACCCACUUGUAUUUCUAAAGAGCUGUUUUGCUGGAUUCAUGUCCGUAGAAUGGUUUUGUGUCAUGCUAUGUGACUUUAUAAAGAUGCAUCAGUGAUGACUGGAUUAUAUACAGAGCUGAUAAAAAGUCUGAAAAGAACGUGUCAGAGUGCUGCAGCUUUGAUGCUGCAUUAGUCAUAUUUAAAUUGCCUAAGGAUGCAAGUAUCUACUUUAUUCCUAAAUCCCAAAGCUUAACUCUUGUUGUACAAACUGGCAAUUAUGCACAUGACCCACGCUGGUGCUCUGGAUGCAAAGUACCUCUGUAAAUCUUGCUUUUCCAUACCUAAAACUAGUUACUAACCUGCAGUUAUGUCAUUCAUUCAUUAUAACCUAGAAUUUUAUGUAUUCCCCUCAGCUUUAUACUGUUGUGCUUCUGAACACAGAAAUCAAAACCAAGACCAGCCCUUGGAAGGAGAGGAGUAGACGGCAGUGCUCCAGCUCUGCAUGUCUUGUGCAAGAAGGGAAAAACAGAGUACAGGCAAGGAUGUCCACGGCUGCCCGUGCACGGGAGAACCUGUACUGCUGCAGGGAAGGCGCUGGGCUCCUGUCGGCACCGAGGGCCUGUCCUGGGAGUGCUGGGGAUACUGCCUGCCUCGCUGCCUCCAGGGGAAGGGAAGGACGAGCAAACCACCCCGAAUCCACGUGCAGGAUUUCAAAGACCAACAAGUGAAUUAAACCAGCUCUUGCCAGGGAAUCGUUUUUGCUAAGGCCGUGCUCCGAAAACGUUGUAAGUUGCACGAGGGGAGCUGCAAAUGGUGUUUAAACAUCACAGGCGCACCGCACCAGGCAGCAAACUCUUCAUAUUCCAUUAGCGAAGCAAGGCUGAGCCUGCUUUUUCCACCGCAGAUAAAAUUAAAGUGCUUUGGAAAUGAUGGUGUUUAUUCCAUAGGUCUUGACUCUAUAGUACUGGCUGUGUUCCCUCUUGGUCUGUUUGACCCACUGCAUGUUUUCGGUCCUUUGAGCAGCAGAACGGUUCGUGUCUUCUGGCUGAGAUAUAAAACAGAAGUCCUGCCUAUCUGUAAUCCAUUAGAGAUUUUGCGGGGCUGUUUGCAGCAGUAGGAGUGUGUGAAGGCUUUGGUUGUUCUGGAAAUAACACUGCUUUGCUCACUUGCAUAUCAUAGUUCAGUCAAUCUAAAUCAAGCAAUCAUCAUCCUCUUCAGCCUCCUUCUAAAACCUAAUUCCUGUGGGUUAUUUUAUACUUUAUAACUUCUUCCUCCACAGCAUGCAAGAGCUUCAUGGUAACGAGUGUUUUUUUAUGCCCAGGGUGCUUCAAUAAGUUACAAGUCACUGUAAUACUCAUUUUUUUUAGCUAGAUUCAAGGAGCAUAGAGGCCAAGUAAAUAGCCUUAAGUCAACUAGGAAGGCUGUGGCAGCACAUUUGUGCCUCUUUCCAAGUGAACAAAACAGCCUUGAAGUUAGCAUACUAACAUGUUUAGGAAAGUGAUGCAAUUCUCGUGAAGAAGGAAUUGAUAGAAAUGUCAAAAGUUUUAACCAUUAGUAUUUUCCUAACAAAAUUGAGUUUUCAAAUGCUACUUAAUGUUUAUAGAAAACGUCUUUUGAGAAAACAAAAACAAAACCCUUUUGUGACUUAAGACAAAAUGGGUUGGGUUUGUGAUAGAAAUACUCCAAUCUCUCUCUUUUUCCCAAGUGGAAUAAAAUAAAAUAAAUAAAUAAAAUAAAAUAAAAUAAAAUAAAAUAAAUAAAUAAAAUAAAAUAAAAUAAAAUAAAAUAAAAUAAAGGAAGAAAAGUGAUGAGAUAAGGUAAACAGGGGCCUGGUUUCUCAAAUGGGAUGAGAAUACAAAUAUAUUUAAUGGAAAAUAAAAAGUACGCUGCUUUUUUUCUUCAGGCUUUCUCCUCUCCAGUCUUAGUCUUUUCUUUUUUCUUCUGAAUAUAAGUGACUUGUGCAAGAGUGACUAGUUUCUCUAACCCUAAAAAAUCAUGUACCAAAACUGAACAGCAGUCCUUAGCCAAGUAAAGUUAGAGAGAGUUGGGGAGAGUUCAUGUGGCCGAUGACAACAGCUCCUUACGUGUUUGGCUGCUCUACUGUCUGACAGGAUUGGACGGGGAUCUCCUCGGCAGAUUUUGCUGGCUCAUUUCCUUCUGCCUCGUGGGUCUGGAUUAUGCCGUAGCCCCCAGAUUACUGCACCCAUGCUGCAAGUCACCUGGCAUGAUCCCAGUCUACACUGCAGUCACUGGGUGCCCCUCAGGAGUUAUAAUGUCAUCUACCCUCUGUGCAGUCUACGGGCUGAGAAAAAACUGUUCCUGCUUCUCUGUUCCCUUUUGUUCCAUUCUUUUUAUCGGUGUAACUUUUUAGUUCCUUUCAGCUUUAGUUUUGAUUCUGCAGUUUACAAUCCCCUGAAUUAGAGUUUGGUUUAAGAGCUGGAAGCGGGGGGAAGCACUAGAAGGUAGGCUGAUUUUUAUUUAUUUAUUUAUUUUCUGAAAAUGCUUGAAAGUCUGCCAGUGAGUUGUCAGGUUAGUGAUGGCUUGUGACAUAUCAAAGCAGACAAGCACGGGUUCAUAAUAAUUCAAGAUCUGUUGAAAACAGCAUUGAAUGUGGUUAGCAGUGAGGGCUUUUUAAAGAGAAAAAAAUCAUUGUAAGUGUAUUUCAACCAUCGCUGUAGAAAGAACCCAUCAUUUUAGUGUGUAUCAUUUGGAUUUUGUGUCUCUCACUCAGAUUUUCAGUGUUCUCAUCCCAGUUCAUCUGUCUCGUUCCUUGCCCUGGUGCCUGGAGGGAACACUGCUCUUACAUGUCUGCACGUGGGGAAUCCAGGUUUUCAGGCCACCUGCGUUCGUGAAGCCUUCCUUCCAGCCAUUUUAUCCCAUUGUUCAGGCGUCCCAUUUUCUGCCUGUGCAGACUUUCGUCAUUCUACAGAAAAGGAGCAGUUGCAUCUCCUGGGUCAGUGGCGUGAGAAGUAGCAAUAAACUUCUUGGCCAGGAGCCUAAAAAAAAUCAUUUAGCUUCCAUUGGGUGAAGAGGUUCUGGCCUUCAGAAUCUCUCCCAGCGUUUUAAGAGGUUUUGGGCAAAGAUGUCUGGAAGAAAUGAGAACUCCACUUUCAGAAUGGAUAUGAAAUGAGAAAGCCAAAGAAAAAGACAAAUUUUCCUCUCACACUGUGUAAAGGGCCUCUGUGCUGAAGACAUCACCAGCUGAAUGCAUAUAAGAAGUCGCCAGCAAUCAUUAAGCUCAAUUAAUCUUAUUCUUGAGCACAUGAUAACAGCUGUGGAUUAUUUAAACAAAGCAAUGGUGGGCAAGCAGGAGAGGGAAAUUAAAGAAAAGAGGUUCUGCUGUAAACACUUGUACCACCAUCACCCAAACUACACUGUAGUGUAGAAACUGGGUCAGAGACACCCUUCCCCCUCCAGGCUGUCAAAGUUAUUUGAGCUCCUAUUGAAACCAUCACAAUAGAAGAGUUUGGCUCAUGCAUUCACUGAGCAAAACUGAUUUGUGUUUCUUGGUUCAGAAAAAGCUGCUGGGUAAUUUUCCGUGCAAGUACAAUGCAGCAGUUCAGCUGAUCCCUGAAAGCUGAUUUCUUGGUGAUUUGCCUUUCAUUUAAUAGAGCACUUCUGCUUUUAUUCAGUCUUUCUAAAUUCACAUGCUGAAUCUGUGUUUAGAAGCCUUAAACCUCUCUCUUGCCUGUAUCGGGUUUAGGAACCGUACUGGUAGCCUUCAUCCAAAGUUCAAAAGAUUUCUGUAAGUCUAUUGAGAUGCCGCUUGCUCUGUUUUCUUACUGAUGAUAUAAAUCUAAGUUAAUUGGUUUGUUUGCUUGUUGGGUAAUUGAAUUAAAUGUAUUGUUUAGGAAGUAUGGCUGGACUAGACACAAACACAGCUCUUCUGGACUAUUCCCACUCCCCUUUUUAAUCCCAUAUUUAAGUCUUUCAUCCUUGUUUACAGCUGUCCUAUUAGCAGUCUCAGCCUUCUGGUGUGCUCUGUCUGCUCUGUUUUUUGUGUGUUUUGUUUUUCUGGCUUCUUUCAGGGAGUCCCAGUGCCUCCACCUUGUCCUGAGAAGAAAACCAGCUUGCUCUUUAUACCAUGAUGACUGGCUACACAGGUUGCCAGCAAGCAGAGAACCAGGGAGUUAUGCUGUCAGACGUGGCGUUAGUUGGCGGUGCUCACAAACCCUUAUUCCAACGGAGGAACGAGUGAAGUUAAACAACAGGUUCCAGAGUUUGAACCUGUUCUCUAAUGCUCAGCUGUCAUGUUUCUUUCUGCUUACAUGAAACUGUCAUUUCUUUCUUGAAAAUCGCCUGACACGAUGGUUGGUGUUGCCAGGAGGUGUCUGUGGGACCUGCUUGGCCAUGGAGCCAAGAAAGCUGUUGUUGAAGGAGCUGCACACCCUAAGUAGUUGUGGCAUGGUGUGUUAAGGAGCUGUGGGAGUAGAGGGGUAUCAGGGGAAGGAUCACCAUUUCCUCGAGACAAGAUGCUGGUUGUUAUGAAGCAGCAGUGAGAACUUUUCUACCCGUACACAUCCAUCCUGCUUCCAAUUCUCCAUCAUAUUGUGUACGCUAACAAAAAAGGAUUGGAAAAAAUCUCCCAGUCUGUGUGCUAGUUUCAAUAGCAAAUGUCUCAGGCUACCUUGCUCCAACAGGAACACUUAUUGGAGCUACGUACGUUAUGUCUUCCUUGCAUCCUCACUACCAAGAAGAAAAAUAGAAAUUCUUGCCGUUCCACACAGCUGCCUGAACGAAUAAACUAAAGAAAUGGUUUGGAGAGAAACUCAAGCUGGGAAGCGAUUUGCACCCUGAAGUUUGACAGCAGAAUGCCUCCUGUUGUUAUCAAGGCUAAUCACUUUCCAGCCCUGUCUCUGGCAAAUGCUCCAUCUGCAAUAAUCAAGUCAGUGCAUAUGACAUAGUUUUUUGACAGGACAAUAUUUCUUAAUAAUUUAGUAGCAUCGCACACACACAAAAAUAGAGUUAUAAUUAGCUCUCAUCCCUGAAGUUGGAAGAGCUUUUCAGCUCGUUGGAGGCUGCUGGCCAAUUCUCUUAUCUAAUUGGAUGAAGUUCCUACUUUCUCCCAUUUGUAUGAUGUCUGCUUUUACACAAGCUCAUUAAGUGCAGCUGUACUCCAAGUUUAUAACAACAGCCCCAGUGAAGCCUAGGCAGAAGUUUAAUACCAGUUCUGUUUUCCCUUUCUCAUCUGAUUUCAAUCCAUUCUGGGGGUUGAUAUGUGCCCAAACAUCUUUCCCUAGCACCUAAUUCACCCCCCUCCAGCUUUUUAUUAUGAAUUAUUGCAAUAAUUAGAAACCGGACAAAUUACAUUGGAUUCAUCUGUCUGUUUUGAAACUGGAGAGUUUACAGCUUGCUUUCAGGAAAAUACAUUUUAAGGCAAUUUUUUGCUUCCAUGAGGCAUAUAGAAGCAAUUUUUUCCCCUUUCAUUUUAAAGCUGUCAUUAAAUUGCAAUCAAAUAAUUGCUACACCAUUAUUUAAGUCUUCAGCAGCCUUGAGCUGAUUAUAUGGGUAGAAAUCAGUAUGGCAGUUAACAUUACAUUAAACUUUUGCAUUUAGAUUUUUUUUUUUUCAAAAUAAAUACUUCUUUAAAAACUAAUCACUUUUGUCAGUAUAACUACAUUUUUCUCAAGUUUUUGUGUGUAACUUUAAAUCUUGAAUUUCUACUUAGUAGAAUAUGUAUAAUAAUAGAAAAUUUUCAUUUCCCAGAACUUGAAUUUCUUCUGCUUUAUUGCCUACAUAUAUUCAGGUUACAUUUAUGAAAAAAGAUUCAGCAUAUACUUUCUGCAAUACAGAUAUAUCAGUUUUAGAAGCGAUUUUAUAAUUUUUGUGGAUACUUUUGUUCUUCCACCAGAGAGCUAUUCCAAGGUUUCUUGGGAAACUUCCCGCUGCAUAAUUUCCUUCCCCUGCCAUGUUCCAUGAGAGAGAUGGAAAAGAAUCACAGUGAGACACCAGGGGGAGGAUUCAAAGGGACUCCCUCCUAAGCCAAAUUCCAGCACUAAGGGAAAUUUCCAUCUGCUGGUGCCUCACCUCCUAGCAUCCAUAUUCCCUUGAGGUUGUAGUGCUCUCCUGGCUCUGAAGGUCAACGAAGGCUUGACCUUUACAAGUCCACAACACGGUUAGCUUUGUCUAAGAUGUAAAGAUGCAAACGUCUUGCAAAAUCCAAAGCCCUGAAUGAAUAGGGAGGAGAGAGUGAAGGAGGACACCCAGCACCAGCCUGACCUGAGUCCUACUUGAACUUGCCUUAUGCUGUAGCCCUCCCUCGGUUCAUGUAAUCAUAAGGAGGCACCGGAGUUGAAUGUUUUGUUUUGAUUCCUGUCAGAGUAUGAAAAAUGCACAGUGUUUUAACCAAGUCCAUGGUCACUGCUGUCGAUGGAUCUUUAUGACAAAGUUUGUGUGUGCAGGUUGAUUGUCAUUCUCAUUGAUGACACAAACUGGUGGUUUAGUUGAUCAUUUUAAUAUAAAACAGUCUCAGCGUGUCACAAUUAGUUUUGACUGAUACUUGACUUUACUAGAAAAAUGAAAUCUGUUAACAACUCUUUAUUUAUUUAUUUAUUUAUUUAUUGUAUAGGUGGUUCCAUCUGUAGGCUAUUACGUGCUCAGACCCUAUUUAGACAAAUAAAAAUACAAAUGUUCUUCUUGUUUAGCAUCCCAUUGCUUUUGCAGUUUUCAUAUGGGGUCGCUGCCCCACGUAUGCAUAAGGUAAGAUUGCCUGACAUUUAUAAGCAAGGACGUUAAGUUCUCUUCUAACCAGGAGAGAGAAUUUUUGUAAUUGACAUCUACCAUCCUGUUGUCUUCAAAAAAUGCAGGCUUAUUUUGAUGGGAAAUACUUUAUAUAUUGGAGGGGCUAAUGCACCACCAGAACAUUUGUUUUUCCAGCUACAGUCGUCAUAGGCACAUCAUUAAAAUGACAACGGUAGCUGCUCCAUGCUGUCUGAUUCUGUAAUGUUUUGACAGAAUUUAAGACAUGAAUGAAUGUUUGUGCUGCUAGUCAUUGGUGAAUCAUACCACUUAACUGGAAGGGUCAACGAGAUAAAGCUACGUGGUCUUCAGGAAAUGAAAACGGCUUCUUGAGUUUGUGAUUUCGAGCUUGUUUGUACACUGCUUUUGUUGGAAGUAGCAUCGGCUGACGGAGAUUAAGGCAAAAGCAGUGAGUUAUUUUCCCACCCCUUGAGUGAGUGGUGAUAGUUGUUGGAGGAUGUGAUGACAGAAGAGAAGUGGGUUUUAAUUUUGUUUUUGAAGUGGGAGGGGGUGGGCAAAUGGAUGCUCAAGACACAUUAAUGAAGUUAUGUUGACAACUGUUAAGUGUGAAGUCUGUCAUGUAUCUCAUUGCAAUGAAUAUGUCUUUAUAAGCAAACUGUGCUAGAGACAUCUGUGCAAUUGUCAGCUGUAAUUAGAGAAAAGGAUGGUUCAGCAGUGGACAUACAGUUGAAAAUGAAGGACAAGGUUUUUUUGUGUGUGUGGGUGUGUAUACUUCUGUUUCCAAAAGUGACAUUUUUUUUCACUACCUAUUUUCCCCACUGUAGCUACUAAAUCAAAAAUAUAUAUAUAUCACAGAAUCACACAGAAUCUCAGAACUGUAGGGGUUGGAAGGGACCUCGAAAGAUCCCUUUUUAAAAUUUAUUUUUAAAAUUUCUCUUGUAGGAUAGAAUUUGAACAUUUUAGGGCAAACAGGGAGCUUUUUUCAUUGUGCCCUUGUUGGUGGCAUUCUGAAGAUGUGUGAAGAAAUGUGUUCCAAAAAGACUCGGGAAAGCUUGAGGUAAAAAUGUCACUUGUCGAGUGUGCAAAAUAAGCAAAGAAACUAAUAAUGCUUAGACCGGGGCAUAUUUGUGGUGCUCGCUUGCAGUACACACUGCAGCUGUGUGUCACGUUCGAUUUUCCUAAUACCUUUGUGACUGUAUCAUGGUGUUCCUUUCAAAGGGGCUUACAUAUAUUGCACAGGGACAGCUGUUUUAUUGUCAGAGGAAGGGAUUUGCUCCCUGAUUUUUUUUCCAGCCAUGGAGCUCUCCACCGCUCUAAGUCAAUUUGAGCUUAAGACAAGCAAAUAUAUUUGAAAAAAGGCCUUUGUCUUUCUCAGGUAGUUGAAUAACCUCUUGUAGCUUAAAACCUUUCUGCAGCUAGCAAUGGCUCCACUUCCAGUGCACACAGUAAAAGGUCUGGUUCCAGCUGAUAUUAAUGGGAGUUUUGCAGGAGUUGACAGUGGGAAUAGCUCUUGGGUUAGUAGUGCAAUUUGAAAGCUGUGUGAUGAGAAGAGCAGCCCGGGCCUAUCUGAACCCCUGAUGUUGUCUCACCUCUUGCUGGAGGUAUCAGUGUCAUUUCUUUCUGUUUAUGCUUCUUGAAUAUCUUUCAUGACCUCUGGAUUGGCCUUACUUUCCCCCUCCAGCUUGGCAGAAAGCGAGGAAGCAGCCGCAACGUACCAGGACUGAAAUCUAAUUCCAGAUCUGGAUGCUGUGAUUUGGAUGUGACUGGAAGCAGUGCUGCCUAUCUGUCCUUGGUUAAAGACUGAUUUUCUGUCCCUAAGGAAAAUACUGGGAGAAUGUAAAGCAGCGCUGAUUUAGGUGGCCAGCAACUAGAGUUAAGGGUUUAUUACAUACCCUGUCUGUGAGGAGGAGGAACGAGGAGGAGCUAUAAGUCAGCACCUUUGUUUAAAAUACAUCUGUUUCUUUCUCAUGGUCACAUUUUUUAAGUGUCAAAUCUACCAGCUUCUUUUAGAGCUAUGUGUUGGAGGAAGCUGUGCAUUCUGCUAGCAGUAAAUGAAUUACAUAAUGGGAAGAAUGUUUGCAAAGCCUAUAGAGAAAUAACAGCUGUUUUUUUAAGUGCAAAAAAAAAAAACCCCAACCCUAUAACAUUUCAAAACUGUAGCAAGAACAAGGAUUUUUUAAAGACCUGGAUGAAAGAAAAUCAGUAAUGUGUAGGGGGUGAUGAGUGGACCAGACACCUCACCUGUUUUAUUCCUAGGUGCAGAGGGAAUUUGGAGUGAGACGCCAGAUGGAAAGCAAACUCAGAACCACAUGAACUACUAGCCAGUUUCCUUCAGCAACAUUAAUUUACAGUCUCAUGAGAGAACACCUUGGUUUUCUGCCAGCUUUGGCUUCAAGCAGGCUUGUAAGAGGACAGAGCAGAGCAGUCAGCAGUCCCUUUCAGGCCACACCGUCUGUGCGGCGAAGCAGACGGCACAGGCUCUUAAUGGGACUCCGCUGAAAGAAUUACAGAAAACGUCUGUGCCCCUGGUCCCUGGUGAAAGCUUCCAAGUACGUUAAUUAUAAUGCAGUACUGUGGCUUCUCCUCUGCCUGCCAGGCAUUUUACAGGACGCUGGCAUCUUUAUGCUACGAAAGCUGGCUUGCCCAAACUAUUGUUUCAGGUUUUUUGACAUGUUUUGCAUUGCUGGAUCCUGCUGGUAGGUGCUUCCUUGUUCAGUGGAAAGGUGGCUCAGUGGAUGUGGAGCAGGUCGGAAGAGAGGCUUGAAAGUCAUUUUGAUUUGCCUUUGACAGUGCUGUGGGAUCGCAUCACGUGCGAUCACAGUGUUGUGAUGCAUCUCGGCCUUUUGGAGUGGUACUGCCUUGAAGGCGGUGUGUAGAAACACACUAAAAAUUUAUUUCCAAACUGCCUUGUCGAACACUGGGGCAUCUCGUGUGGCACUUCAGUUCACUUUCUGAUCUCACACUGUUUUCUUUCCAAACUAUCCAGGAGUCAGAGUGCCAAUGGUUUUCUCCCUCCUCUCUACCUGGUAGUUCUAAGAUGGUAUUAGCAUUUCAGAUAUGUAAGAUUUAAGAGAUGAAAGUGCAGAAAAUGCUGCUCAGUUUGAAUGUUGCUAAGCAUGCUUCAGACGACUUGAAGCAUGUGCUGUCACAUAAGUGUCUUGGAGGGCUCAACCCUAGAAGAAAGCAAGAGGCUUUUUGACAAGUGAGGUAUUCCUCAUUUUUGUGUGUAAACUUCUAUUAGUGGAUGGCUAUUUCUACCACAGCAAUAAUGUGUAGCACAGUUUUUUGUGCAAUACUUUUUUGUGCAAAUAGAAGGCAGCAUCUUCUUCCUUCACAAUUUCAGAUGUAAUUGUCCCAACAAAGACAAGGAUUAAGGGUCUGUCAGAGCUGUUUCCACCCCAGUGUGAAUGAGUUAACCUUGCCAGUGGCCCCAGUCAAUGGUCACUAAUGGACUGUAUGCAGUGAUCUUGCACAAGCUAUGGCUGCUUUGACAGAAAUGGGAUCACACGUCUCUUCAGAAACUUGUGCAAAUACAAACCAAUAAAUAGAUUGGCUGGCUUUUGUUUUCUGCCACCUAUGGCUUUAUAAGAAUUUGCACCAGUACCAGUACCAGUGUGGCCGCCUCAGAGGCAGUUCUUGAUACCAAAAUGUUAUGUAGGAGCAGAAGGCUAGCGCCUGUCAGGGUCAGAUGUGAUGUGAGACGUAAAUGGCAAGCAGUUGUUAUCUGGCCGUUCACACUGGAAUAAAUUCCACUUUGUAUCAUUUGCAAUCUCUCAUUAAAUAUUUAAUAAGCUAGAGGGACAAUAGCAGGAACUACAGGCGUUGCCAGGCUGAGAGCCUGCUGUUUCAGAGGGACUGCAGCACACUGAAAAUGUCAGUGAAGGUUUGCAGUGCUUGAAACCAUUUGUGUGUAUUUUGAAAAGGGAGCUUUCUCUGGCCCAGCCAAGCUUGUUUUAAAGGUGCUCCUACCAGUGUAAUUUCCAGGGUGCCAAAACCCACCUCAGUUAUCAGGUGUAACAUCCAUUUUGUCUUUAUCCCGACCUCUUCUGUUCUGAUCUGCUCACCGUGCUUUGUGCCAGUAAGAAGGUAGGCAUUUAAUCAUGGCUGCUAAUCUUUCUGCUUUUUACAAAAAUUUGAGUCAACUGUCCAGGCAGAAAGAGGGGAGUCACCAAAGUAAUUUACCUGUUUUUGCUGCGUUGGCUUGCCUUCCUAGAGAAAUUUAAUCACUUCUUCCUUCCUUAGCUAGAAAUACAAUAGUGCAGAGGAUACUUUCCUUCAAGUCCUUUCAGUCUUCUUUCAGUCUCAUGGAAUAAUCAGGGAAAAAAUGGCAGUACCUACAGAACUGCAGAUUUGCUUGCCUCCUGACAGUCGCAAAGGAAUUUGCAACCUCAUGGGCUGGGCAGUUCAAUCCUGGGCCUAAGAGGACACAAUCUAUUAGUUGUCUUUUUCUGCUGUGUCUUCUUUUUUUUCAGAAAGCUUCAGGCUGCCUUCCUCCACCUUCUCUGCCUUUGGGGAUGCAGAUGUAGGGGUAGACGUUUUUGCACGUGUGUCUCAAUUUUCCUGGAAAGGCUUUAAACUUCUAGCUAGCUUGAGGCACUCACUACAGGUGCAUUCAUGACAGUACGCUGCACAUGCUAGGUUGCAAAACUCACUCCAGACGUUGGGUGUAUUCAUGGGGCCGUUAAAUACUCAUUACCUAAGCUAAUCUAGCUAUGUUCUACAUGCAGUGCAGCUACAGAAGGUGUGUGGUAACAACCGCAAUGUUGAGGGCCAGGUAAUAUGAACCCUUAAGAAGCAGAAUAGCUAAACACCUACUGGAAACCAAUCAUAAGAGUAACAAACCUUUGGCAGUAAUAAAAAUGCUUUACUUUUUUACUUUUUACAUUUUUUUUUUUCCUCAGCCCACUGAAACUUGCUGAUAUGCUUUCCCAGCUUCUUUCUACUAGGUUGAAAAACAGUUCUAGUGAAAAAAUGAGAGACUCUCACUGCACUUUCAACAAGACGUUGGAUGUAUGAGACAGUAGAGCGGGUGGUAGUCAAAAGACAGUCCUUCUGUCUUGAAGUAUCUGAUACACCUGCUUAUUGUAUUUCACACAGCAGCGGUUUAUCAGACUUAUGUUAGUGUAUUUUGAUGCACAAAGGCCUUUGAGGAAUGCUGGAGAAUAUUGUCACUUUACAGCUUUUUGGGGAGGUUUUUGUUUAGAUAGUGUAGAAUGCAGCUCCUCAGGGUUGUGUCCAUGGAUGCGAUAUUGGCUGCUCUUUUUUGGGAUCCAGAGAAGAAAGAAAUGCAGUAACAGAAUUAAACUGCUGAAUGUAAGAUAAAUGCCAUCCUUUGUAGUUGCCAGCAGCACAGAUACUUAUGUAUGGCUUUCGUGCUUAAUUUACAUAGUGUUUAAGGAAUAUACCUACUGCUGCUCUUCCAAGUAAGUCCCAUUUAGAAGUGAUUUUGUCCCAAGGUCUCAUUUGGAGCUUGCUGUCCUCAUUGAACCCACCUGGGAGAAGUGACAUGUGAGUUGACAGACUUGCUAAAUCUGUGAUUCCUGCCAGUGUGAGCUAUGAUAAAAGAAAAACUUAGACUAAGGAAGAGUCUUCAAAUAAUCUCACUUGAGGUGUUGACUUGCAGACCCUACGGCUCUGCUGUAGUGAGUGUGACGGGAUGCUGUGAGAGGUUGUUAUGCUGUGGAACAUUAAGCACCUGAUUAACCAGUCUCCUAACAGUCAAAGCAAGGAGAAAGCUCUCCCAUCUUCUAUCAUGAUGGCCCAGACAGACCAAGAACCUGCCUUAGCUAUUCUGAAUAUCACCUCUUUCCCUGACCUUAUGGGCAGCCUGUGGACACAAGUUCAUCAGACCUUCAAAGAUGAAUUUUAUAAAUGCAUUCUUGCACAGUGCACACUGGGUUAAAUACAAACCUGCUAUGCGUACAAGCUACCACACACAACUUUUAAACAUUUUAAUAUUAGCUUGAAAAACAGCACAGCAUUAAUAAAUAAAUAAAUUUAAAAAAAAAUUGUUUAUGGUUCUCUGUUGCGUAAACUUCAAAGAUGUAAGUUUUGUGUGUAUGUGUGUUCCUAAAGCAUGUCUGCUACCAUGUAGUGUAGAAAGUUUCUUUUUUUUUUUCUUUUAUUUUUUUUUAAGAAAACUCAAAGACAGUUGCAUUUCCAUAGUUCUAAGAUCUGUGGCUUUACAAAAAUCAUCAAAUACUUUGGAUCUGGAGAAAAAGCAUGGGUGAAUAGUGCUUCUACAGUCUCACUGUAGCCUGAAGAUAUUGAUAUCAAGCAGAACAUGUCACCAGAACAAUCCAGAAGGAAACAUUAUGUUUCAUUUAUAGGAUUGCACUCAUAAAUGUUGGGGUAGUGUCUUAUCAACCAAUCCUAAACAAUUCGAAUGCAAAACAAGUAACUCACAGUGUGCUUUAUUAUUUUUUCACAAUAUUAACUAGACAGACAUGAAAAGUUUAAUGGCAGCAUGUUCUUAUAACAUUUUAAAGACAAAGAACAACAUAAUCAUAUUAAAUGAUGAUAAACUGACAAACUACAUUACCAUACAUACAUCAUCCAAAGGUACUGGGUAAACGAUAUCUGCUUAUGUACAUUUAUGCUGGUGAUAAUUAAAAUUCAAAUAUUCAGAAGAAAAAGAAAAAAAUACGCUACUUAAAUUAUAAAAAUAUAUAGUUCUGUGUGGAAUUUUUUAAUGCUGUAUAACUUGGUGAGAAAGAUUUCAUCAUGUGAUGAAGCUGCAUUAACUUAGUAUAGGAGUGUGAUUUAAAAAAAAUACAGAUUAAAUUGGCUCUUUCGUCUUCUUUUUGUGUAGCCUGGUUUGAAAGAGAGAGAGGAAUGAAAAACAAAGCUGGGCUUUUGCAAUGAGAAAGAAUUUUUAUGCUUAUAAAUCAAAAGAUGUUUAAUUUUUCGUUUAGUACUGAGCCAUUAACUCAUAAUACAAAUGAAUCAUUUUGCUAGCUUGUUUAAAGACAGAGAGAGGGAAAAAAGACAGGCUUUAAACAUGCUACUUCACUACACGUUUAAUUAAUAGGACUUCUAGGUUUGUGAAGUUGAAUGCAGGUGCACAGGUAAGCACAGUGUCAUGCUUCAGGGUCAAAGCAUGCAGACCUUACAUAUUUCUGACUCCCACUGACUGCGCAAGGGAGACUGUGUGCAUGCAAGGCUGGGGUGUCCUGGGUCUAUAUUCUGUGAACUGUACCACAUCAAUGUUUCCUUUGCACAUCUGCUUUCAAAGAAACAUUUUUUUUUUUUCAAAAUUGCUCUUUAUUAGUGCAACCCUACUCAGACUGCGUAAUCUCAAAUCACAACAGCAAACCAAUGAAGUUUCGUAAUGAUUGGAUAAUUUUAUAAUACUUUAAAAUUUUUUUUUGAGAUGAUUGAAAAAUUUUCUUAAUUAUAGUAAUGUUGUAGUGCAUGAAUUUGUAUCCAGGUUUAGUUAAAAGCUAUUUUCAGACCACCUUGGGUGCACUCCUGCAUCAUCUGAAACUUGAGAUUUUCUUACAUACCAGUGUCAUUCUCCAUAUCUUCCAGCCCCCUUCCUUAUCUGUAUAUUCUCUGUUACCUCCACAGCCUCACUCCUCCUUUGUUGGAUCCAGUGCUUGGUCUAUUGAGAAAUUUCCUUUGUGUCAGCUCUGAUUUCAGAAUGCUUCCAGAUUUUUUUUCUUGUUUUUCCAUUUGUUCCGAAGUUACUGAUCUGUAACAGAUCUUAGGUGAUUGUAGAGUUAUAUUUUUUUCAGAAGCAAAAUAUUUUCUUUCACUAUUUUCUUAAUAAAUGGAGUGAGAAGGAAUUAAUGACAAAUAAAUUAAAUACAGCCGAAUCAAGUAUUUCUCUCAAAUUCCUAAGGAUUUUCUGUUUUGCAAAAGACUGCCUUCAGAAUUAAUUAAGUUUUAUUGUGAAGAAUAAUCAUGGGGUCUGUGCAAUUGGUUACUCUGCCUUUGUAUCAUCCUUUGUCAAGGGAAAGAAUGAAAGAUGAACAAAUUCCAUUUAACAGUCAUCUUUAACCAGGGAGAUAUUUCAGUGAGCUCUCUGAUUCCCUCUAUUUCUUGACCUCUUCCUAUGUUGUCCUCUGAUCUUCCACACCUAACCAACUUCAGAAGUGUCCCUCCUUCUUUUUUAACUUUUGCUUUGACAGCUCAGGUACACGGGGAGUGACCAGCUAUGUGUGUCUGCGUAGUGACGGAGGAUGGAUUUUCACUGAAGUGUAGUCUUGGAGCAUGAAAGUCUGUAAGGCAUUUUGUGGGAAAAAAAAA